AUACGGAGGGGGCUAGCGUUGUUCGGAAUUACUGGGCGUAAAGCGCACGUAGGCGGCUUUGUAAGUCAGAGGUGAAAGCCUGGAGCUCAACUCCAGAACUGCCUUUGAGACUGCAUCGCUUGAAUCCAGGAGAGGUCAGUGGAAUUCCGAGUGUAGAGGUGAAAUUCGUAGAUAUUCGGAAGAACACCAGUGGCGAAGGCGGCUGACUGGACUGGUAUUGACGCUGAGGUGCGAAAGCGUGGGGAGCAAACAGGAUUAGAAACCCCUGUAGUCC
rnacentral:rRNA from 1 species